CCUACGGGAGGCAGCAGUGGGGAAUCUUGCGCAAUGGGCGAAAGCCUGACGCAGCAACGCCGCGUGCGGGAAGAAGGCUCUCGGGUUGUAAACCGCUUUCAGCAGGAACGAAAAUGACGGUACCUGCAGAAGAAGGUGCGGCCAACUACGUGCCAGCAGCCGCGGUGACACGUAGGCACCAAGCGUUGUCCGGAUUUAUUGGGCGUAAAGAGCUCGUAGGCGGUUCGGUAAGUCGGGUGUGAAAACUUUGGGCUUAACCCAAAGCGUGCACCCGAUACUGCUGUGACUAGAGUUCGGUAGGGGAGCGGGGAAUUCCUAGUGUAGCGGUGAAAUGCGCAGAUAUUAGGAGGAACACUGGUGGCGAAGGCGCCGCUCUGGGCCGAUACUGACGCUGAGGAGCGAAAGCGUGGGUAGCAAACAGGAUUAGAUACCCUUGUAGU
rnacentral:rRNA from 1 species